CCUACGGGAGGCAGCAGUGAGGAAUAUUGGGCAAUGGACGAAAGUCUGAACCAGCAAAGUAGCGUGAAGGAUGACUGCCCUCUGGGUUGUAAACUUCUUUUAUAGAGGAGUAAAACGAGGCACGUGUGCCUUUUUGCAUGUACUUUAUGAAUAAGGAUCGGCUAACGCCGUUCCAGCAGCCGCGGUAAUACGGCGGAUCCGAGCGUUAUCCGGAUUUAUUGGGUUUAAAGGGAGCGUAGAUGGGUUGUUAAGUCAGUUGUGAAAGUUUCCGGCUCAACCGGAAAAUUGCAAUUGAUACUGGCAGUCUUGAGUACAGGUGAGGUAGGCGGAAUUCGUGGUGUAGCGGUGAAAUGCUUAGAUAUUACGAAGAACCCCGAUUGCGAAGGCAGCUUACUAAACUGUGACUGACAUUGAGGCGCGAAAGUGUGGGUAGCAAACAGGAUUAGAUACCCGGGUAGUC
rnacentral:rRNA from 1 species